CUGACGGAGCAACGCCGCGUGAGUGAUGAAGGUUUUCGGAUCGUAAAACUCUGUUGUUAGGGAAGAACAAGUACCGGAGUAACUGCCGGUACCUUGACGGUACCUAACCAGAAAGCCACGGCUAACUACGUGCCAGCAGCCGCGGUAUACGUAGGUGCAGCGUGUCCGGAAUAUUGGGCGUAAGCGCGCGCAGGCGGUCCUUAAUCUGAGUGAAGCCCCGGCUCACCGUGGAGGUCUUGGAACUGGGAAUUGAUGCAAAAAGA
rnacentral:rRNA from 1 species